rnacentral:misc_RNA from 1 species
GUUUCUAUUUUGAAAGCUAUAGUGUUACAGGCUAUCUGUAUGAAUUACCAAAAAAUUCACAAAAACGCAGCAGCUACUGGACUGAGCCAAUUUUGAGAAGGGCAUACUUUUGGGAAGGCCCAAACACCUGAAGUAUGGAAUAUAUGGGAGACUUAAAUACUGGUUAUGAGGUAGGAGGGCAUCUGCCCACCCCAAGCCCAAAAGUUUUGACAAAUACCUCCAAUACUUCCUCGCAAUUUGGGAUCCGGCGGUAGAGGGGCAUCUGGUCACCUCGAAACCCUUUGCUCCCCCAAACCUUUUUCUCACACCGGAACCA